rnacentral:rRNA from 1 species
GACGAACGCUGGCGGCGUGCUUAACACAUGCAAGUCGAACGGAAAGGCCCUGCUUUUGUGGGGUGCUCGAGUGGCGAACGGGUGAGUAACACGUGAGUAACCUGCCCUUGACUUUGGGAUAACUUCAGGAAACUGGGGCUAAUACCGGAUAGGAGCUCCUGCUGCAUGGUGGGGGUUGGAAAGUUUCGGCGGUUGGGGAUGGACUCGCGGCUUAUCAGCUUGUUGGUGGGGUAGUGGCUUACCAAGGCUUUGACGGGUAGCCGGCCUGAGAGGGUGACCGGCCACAAUGGGACUGAGAGACGGCCCAGACGCCUACGGGAGACAGCAGUGGGGAAUAUUGCACAAUGGGCGGAAGCCUGAGACAGCAACGCCGCGUGCGGGAUGACGGCCUUCGGGUUGUGAACCGCUUUCGCCUGUGACGAAGCGUGAGUGACGGUAAUGGGUAAAGAAGCACCGGCUAACUACGUG